rnacentral:tRNA from 1 species
GCCUCGAUAGCUCAGUAGGGAGAGCGUUAGACUGAAGAUCUAAGUGUCGCCGGUUCAAUCUCGGCUCGAGGCA